rnacentral:lncRNA from 1 species
CUGAGCGCUCGCUCGCACCGGCGGCAGCGCCGCCCGCCCGCGGCCCCGGAGGUGCCGAGAGAUGGAUCUGCUCUGAAGUAAAGCUUUGCAAAAACUGGGAAGUGCCGCAUCAAAGCUCUUGAAUUUGGACCACUUCCAGGCCUGACAUCCAGAAACUCAUCCCUAUGGGUGGUAAAUAUAAAGAGGCUGGAUGCAAAGGAGGAAGCAUGGUAAAGGCAGCAUCUUCCCAGG